rnacentral:rRNA from 1 species
UACGAAGGGGGCUAGCGUUGUUCGGAAUCACUGGGCGUAAAGGGCGCGUAGGCGGCCGCUCAAGUCGGGGGUGAAAGCCUGUGGCUUAACCACAGAAUUGCCUUCGAUACUGUUUGGCUUGAGACCGGAAGAGGUGAGUGGAACUGCGAGUGUAGAGGUGAAAUUCGUAGAUAUUCGCAAGAACACCAGCGGCGAAGGCGGCUCACUGGUCCGGUUCUGACGCUGAGGCGCGAAAGCGUGGGGAGCAAACAGG